AUGGAUUAAAUGUGUCCCCAGUUUUACUCCUUUUUCUUGUUUAGUCCAAUCUGUCCUCUAAGUUCUGAGAAGUGAUUUCCAUAUAGUAAUUUUUCCCCUGCUUCUUCCCCUAGCUUACAGUAGUUUCCAAUUUUACUGAUUAGCUGAAGUCUCAAACCAGAAAGGUCAGACAAAAAUUUCACAGAAGUAUUGCCAUGACUAUACUUGAGAAUCAUUAUCUAAAACAUUAUACCAUAUAUUACAGCAUCAACUCUUUUAACACAAACAUAUCCACUCCAGAAUUAUGAUUCUAUGAGUUUUUUUUAUCUUAAAAUGUUUCUGUUCUGAAAUGCUAUUUAUAAAAUUCCUUAUUUUUCCAGAAAUUCUGGUUGCUGAAUGUAUUUUGUGAGUGAACAUAGAUCUUACAUAUAUAAGAAAAGAAAUCAGAUACGGGACCCAUGUAUAGUAAAACUAAAAAAAGGUUGGCUGAUUUAAGGGUCCAGAAAUGAGAUUGCUUUUAUCUUUAAUUUAGCUCAUUGGUAAAAUACAUACACACACAUACACACAUACACAUAAUUUGGAGUGGAUACUAAACCUAAAUAAGUUUGUGUACACAUAAAAAAGAGUAAUUUUGAGAAUAAAUACCUUUUGUUUCUAGCAAUAGAAAUUAAGUUAUUUUUACUGCCAUAUCUCUCCAUUAAAUUAUAUGUGUUUAUGUGCAUAUAAAUAUGGGUUUAUGUAUAUGUACAUAAACAUAAAAACAUUUGCAAAGUAGGUUUCCAAAAAUUAUGCUUUGGAUGAUCAGCCUUAACAAAAACAUAAACACUGCAGUUUUGUAAAAUGAAUUGUAGAAAUCUUUUGUGCUUAUUUCUCCAUGUUUAUCCUGAAGGUAAAAGGUAAUGCCAACUGUAUUUGUCUACAUUUAUGUGAUUUGGGAUAGUAAUUGCUUUAUCUAUACAACAAAAAUAGACAGCUUCAAAAUAGCAGUAAGUUUUACAAACUUUCCUUCUCCUUCAUUGUAGCUAUUUUAUCAACCAUAAGUCUUGGAAACAUCAGCUUAAAAAAAAUUGGGGGGCCAUCUCUGCUUCAUUUCACCAGAACUCACAGCACAGUAUAAUACAGCUAUUUUUUGCCAACUCUUGACUUGGGUUAUCUCAGGGGAGAAUAAGGUGUAGAGUCACAAGCUGUAGGCCUUUUCUGUCUUAGCAGCAGCAUGGGUGGCAGGAAGCAAAUCAGCACCACAUCCCAGGGAAGGCCACCAGUGCUGGCAGCAUCUGCCAGGCAGGCGCACUAGAUCUGCAAGUAUCCUUGAGUUCCUCAACAAAGUAGUCACUUGGAGAGUCAAUAAAGAAGGUAGCAGAAGAAGAAAGAUGCAACAGGAAAAAAAAAGGAAAAUAAAAUAACUCAGGUGGAGAAAGGCAUGAUGACAAAAAGAAAGACAAAAUGAUAGAGUUGGAAAAAAGAAUGUCCAGGAAAAGAUGUGGG